rnacentral:rRNA from 1 species
GAUGAACGCUGACAGAAUGCUUAACACAUGCAAGUCGAUGGGGAAGUGGUGCUUGCACCAUGGUAACCAUGGCGGACGGGUGAGUAACGCGUAAGGAACUUACCUGCGGGACCGGGAUAACAGCAGGAAACUGCUGACAAGACCGGAUAAGGUCAUUAAGCUGCAUAGCUUAGUGAUGAAAGGAGACGCCUGCGGAGAGCCUUGCGUACUAGUAGCUAGUUGGAGGGGUAAUGGCCCACCAAGGCGAAGAUAGGUAGCCGGCCUGAGAGGGUGGACGGCCAAGAGGGGACUGAGAUGCGGCACUUACGACUACGGGAGGCAGCAGGGGGGAAUAUUGGAGCAUGGGGGCAACACUGAUCCAGCUAUUCUGUGUGCACGAAGACGGUUUUAGGAUUGUAAAGUGCUUUCAGCAGGGAAGAAGGAAGUGACGGUACCUGCAGAAGAAGCGACGGCUAAAUACGUG